rnacentral:rRNA from 1 species
GACGAACGCUGGCGGCGUGCCUAAUACAUGCAAGUUGAGCGCUGAAGGUUGGUACUUGUACCAACUGGAUGAGCAGCGAACGGGUGAGUAACGCGUGGGUAAUCUGCCUUUUAGCGGGGGACAACAUUUUGAAACGAAUGCUAAUACCGCAUAAAACCUUUAAACACAAGUUUUAAGGUUUAAAGAUGCAAUUGGAUCACUCAAAGAUGGUCCCGCGUUGUAUUAGCUAGUUGGUGAGGUAAAGGCUCACCAAGGCGAUGAGACAUAGACGACCUGAGAGGGUGGUCGGCCACAUUGGGAAUGAGACAAGGCCCAAACUCCUACGGGAGGGCGCAGUAGGGAAUCUUCGGAAAUGGACGAAAGUCUGAACGAGAAACGCCGCGGGAGGGAAGAAGGUUGUCGGAUCGUAAAACUCUGUUGGUAGAGAAGAAAGUUGGUGAGAGUGGAAAGCUCAUCAAGUGACGGUAACUAAACAGAAAGGGACGGCUAACUACGUG